rnacentral:rRNA from 1 species
UACGGAGGAUCCGAGCGUUAUCCGGAUUUAUUGGGUUUAAAGGGUGCGUAGGCGGCACAGUAAGUUAGCGGUGAAAUCUGGGGGCUCAACCCCCAAACUGCCGUUAAAACUGCUGAGCUAGAGAGUAGAUGCGGUAGGCGGAAUGUGUGGUGUAGCGGUGAAAUGCUUAGAGAUCACACAGAACCCCGAUUGCGAAGGCAGCUUACCAAUCUAUAUCUGACGUUGAGGCACGAAAGCGUGGGUAGCAAACAGGAUUAGAUACCCUGGUAGUCCACGCAGUAAACGAUGAUAGCUCGUUGUCGGCGAUACACAGUCGGUGACUUAGCGAAAGCGUUAAGCUAUCCACCUGGGGAGUACGUUCGCAAGAAUGAAACUCAAAGGAAUUGACGGGGGCCCGCACAAGCGGAGGAACAUGUGGUUUAAUUCGAUGAUACGCGAGGAACCUUACCCGGGCUUGAAAGUUAUUGACGGAGGUCGAAAGAUCUCUUCCCUUCGGGGCAAGAAACUAGGUGCUGCAUGGUUGUCGUCAGCUCGUGCCGUGAGGUGUCGGAUUAAGUUCCAUAACGAGCGCAACCCUUGCCGUUAGUUGCCAUCAGGUCAAGCUGGGCACUCUAACGGGACUGCCGGUGUAAACCGCGAGGAAGGUGGGGAUGACGUCAAAUCAGCACGGCCCUUACGUCCGGGGCGACACACGUGUUACAAUGGUCGGUACAGAGGGCAGCUACCCAGCGAUGGGAUGCGAAUCUCGAAAGCCGAUCUCAGUUCGGAUCGGAGGCUGAAACUCGCCUCCGUGAAGUUGGAUUCGCUAGUAAUCGCGCAUCAGCCAUGGCGCGGUGAAUACGUUCCCGGGCCUU